AGAACACUUGCAAGCGUGUUCAUUUUGUUGUAAUUGGUAAAUCUCCAGCAUCUUACUAAGAAAACGGUGAUUCUUGACAUCUUUUGCUAGUUUACGGCACAAUGAACGCAUUUGCAGGUGUUUA
rnacentral:pre_miRNA from 1 species